rnacentral:miRNA from 1 species
GUAGUAUUAUUGUAAUACUAUAUUGUACAAUUAGUAAUAAGCAGUCGUUUUAGAUUUUGCAAGUAACCGAUCAAAACCAAAAGGAAGUUGAUACAAUGAAUAUAUCAAAUCACUAUUCAAGGUAAAAUAUAUCAAAUUUCUUUUAGCUUUGAUUGGUUACCCGUAAAAUUUUAUAUCACUGUUUGUUACUAAUUAUAAUAAAUAGU